rnacentral:rRNA from 1 species
UACGAAGGGGGCUAGCGUUGCUCGGAAUCACUGGGCGUAAAGGGAGCGUAGGUGGACUGUUUAGUCAGAGGUGAAAGCCCAGGGCUCAACCUUGGAAUUGCCUUUGAUACUGGCAGUCUUGAGUACGGAAGAGGUAUGUGGAACUCCGAGUGUAGAGGUGAAAUUCGUAGAUAUUCGGAAGAACACCAGUGGCGAAGGCGACAUACUGGUCCGUUACUGACACUGAGGCUCGAAAGCGUGGGGAGCAAACAGG